CUACGGGCUGCUGCAGUGAGGAAUAUUGCACAAUGGGGGGAACCCUGAUGCAGCAACGCCGCGUGGAGGAUGACGCAUUUCGGUGUGUAAACUCCUUUUAUAUGUCAAGAAAAUGACGGUAGCAUAUGAAUAAGCACCGGCUAACUCCGUGCCAGCAGCCGCGGUAAUAGGAGGGUGCAAGCGUUACUCGGAAUCACUGGGCGUAAAGGACGCGUAGGCGGGUUGGAAAGUCAGGUGUGAAAUCCUACAGCUUAACUGUAGAACUGCACUUGAAACUUCUAAUCUAGAGUAUGGGAGGGGGAGAUGGAAUUAGUGGUGGAGGGGUAAAAUCCGUAGAUAUCACUAGGAAUACCUAAAGCGAAGGCGAUCUCCUGGAACAUUACUGACGCUAAGGCGUGAAAGCGUGGGGAGCAAACAGGAUUAGAUACCCCCGUAGUC
rnacentral:rRNA from 1 species